AACGAACGCUGGCGGCAGGCUUAACACAUGCAAGUCGAACGAGAUCUUCGGAUCUAGUGGCAGACGGGUGAGGAACACGUGGGAACAUCCCUUUCAGUUCGGAAUAACGUUGGGAAACUAACGCUAAUACCGGAUACGUCCUUCGGGAGAAAGAUUUACCGCUGAAAGAUUGGCCCGCGUCUGAUUAGCUAGUUGGUGAGGUAAUGGCUCACCAAGGCUACGAUCAGUAGCUGAUCUGAGAGGAUGAUCAGCCACAUUGGGACUGAGACACGGCCCAAACUCCUACGGGAGGCAGCAGUGGGGAAUAUUGGACAAUGGGCGCAAGCCUGAUCCAGCCAUGCCGCGUGAGUGAUGACGGCCUUCGGGUUGUAGAGCUCUUUUGUCCGGGGAGAUAAUGACUGUACCGGAAGAAUAAGCCCCGGCAAACUUCGUGCCAGCCGCCGCAGUAA
rnacentral:rRNA from 1 species